AACGCGAAGAACCUUACCUGGGCUCGAAGCACAGUGGACCGGGGUAGAAAUACCCCUUUUCGCAAGAACUGCUGUGGAGGUGCUGCAUGGCUGUCGUCAGCUCGUGUCGUGAGAUGUUGGGUUAAGUCCCGCAACGAGCGCAACCCUUAUCGUUAGUUGCCAGCGGGUUAUGCCGGGCACUCUAGCGAAACCGCCUCGGAUAACGGGGAGGAAGGUGGGGAUGACGUCAAGUCCUCAUGGCCUUUAUGUCCAGGGCUACACACGUGCUACAAUGGCCGGUACAAACCGUCGCAAACCCGCGAGGGGGAGCUAAUCGGAAAAAGCCGGCCUCAGUUCGGAUUGGAGUCUGCAACUCGACUCCAUGAAGCUGGAAUCGCUAGUAAUCGCGGAUCAGCACGCCGCGGUGAAUACGUUCCCGGGCCUUGUA
rnacentral:rRNA from 1 species